UCGGGCGUGGUGAAAAAUGGCACACACUCCGUCGUCGUGCGUGGUGAGGAUACAAUACUUGCGAACGGAGAGAUCCAGGUUCGACUCCUGGCGCCUGAG